rnacentral:rRNA from 2 species
AAUACAUGCAAGUCGAGCGGACGUUUUUGAAGCUUGCUUCAAAAACGUUAGCGGCGGACGGGUGAGUAACACGUGGGCAACCUACCUUAUCGACUGGGAUAACUCCGGGAAACCGGGGCUAAUACCGGAUAAUAUCUAGCACCUCCUGGUGCCGGAUUAAAAGAGGGCUUCUUGCUCUCACGAUGAGAUGGGCCCGCGGCGCAUUAGCCAGUUGGAGAGGUAACGGCUCCCCAAGGCGACGAUGCGUAGCCGACCUGAGAGGGUGAUCGGCCACACUGGGACUGAGACACGGCCCAGACUCCUACGGGAGGCAGCAGUAGGGAAUCUUCCGCAAUGGACGAAAGUCUGACGGAGCAACGCCGCGUGAGUGAUGAAGGGUUUCGGCUCGUAAAGCUCUGUUAUGAGGGAAGAACACGUACCGUUCGAAUAGGGCGGUACCUUGACGGUACCUCAUCAGAAAGCCACGGCUAACUACGUGCCAGCAGCCGCGGUAAUACGUAGGUGGCAAGCGUUGUCCGGAAUUAUUGGGCGUAAAGCGCGCGCAGGCGGCCUUUUAAGUCUGAUGUGAAAUCUUGCGGCUCAACCGCAAGCGGCCAUUGGAAACUGGGAGGCUUGAGUACAGAAGAGGAGAGUGGAAUUCCACGUGUAGCGGUGAAAUGCGUAGAUAUGUGGAGGAACACCAGUGGCGAAGGCGACUCUCUGGUCUGUAACUGACGCUGAGGCGCGAAA